UACGGAGGGUGCGAGCGUUAAUCGGAAUUACUGGGCGUAAAGCGCAUGCAGGUGGUUUGUUAAGUCAGAUGUGAAAGCCCCGGGCUUAACCUGGGAAUGCCAGUCAAAACUGCGAGACUAGAGUACAGUAGAGGGGUGUGGAAUUUCCUGUGUAGCGGUGAAAUGCGUAGAGAUGGGAAGGAACACCGGUGGCGAAGGCGGCACCCUGGACUGAUACUGACACUGAGGAGCGAAAGCGUGGGUAGCAAACAGG
rnacentral:rRNA from 1 species